rfam:TPA: Aspergillus nidulans FGSC A4 chromosome V
ACAUACGACCAUAGGGUGUGGAAAACAGGGCUUCCCGUCCGCUCAGCCGUACUUAAGCCACACGCCGGUAGGUUAGUAGUAUGGUGGGUGACCACAUGCGAAUCCCUACUGUUGUAUGUU